AUGGAGUCCACGAAGAUCUCCGCGCUGCUGGUGCUCGCCAUGCUCGCGCUCUCCUCGCCCACCGUCGUGCUCGCGUGCUCCCCCGCCUCCGGGUGCGGCAGCGGCACCCCGUCGAGCGGCACGCCCUCGGCCGGCGGCGUCAGCAUACCCCCGGCCAUCGGCGGUGUCGUUGGCACCGUCACUCCGAUCAUCGGCGGCGCCGCCCCGGUCGUCGGCGGUGUCGUCGGCAAAGUCACCCCAGUCGCCGGCGGCGCCGUCCCUACCGUCGGCGGUGUUGUCGGCAAGGUCACCCCGGUCGUCGGCGGCAUGGUCCCUACCGUUGGCGGUGUCGUCGGCAAAGUCACGCCGGUCGUAGGCGGCGCCGUCCCUGCCGUCGGUGGCAUGGUCUCUCCUAUCGUCGGCACCGUAGGCGGCGUGGUUGGCGGCGUCCCCGCCGUCGGGGGAGUUGUCACUCCCGUCAUCGGCGUCGUGGCUCCCAUCAUCGGCGGCUCCCCGUCCCCCAAGAGCCGCCACGGCGGACGCAAGGCGUGCCCUCCCUCGCCCCCGACCCCCACCCCGUCUCCCCCAACCCCGGCGCCGACUCCCCCGACGCCCACGCCGAGCCCCACGCCCUCCUCCGACACGUGCCCGAUCGACACGCUGAAGCUGGGCGUGUGCCUGGACCUGCUCGGCAACGAGCUGCACAUCGGCGACGCCAGCGUCAAGUGCUGCCCGCUCGUGGAGGGCAUCGCCGGGCUCACCGCCGCGGCGUGCCUCUGCACCGCCAUCAAGGCCAAGGUGCUCAACCUCGCCCUCUACGUGCCGCUCGCCCUCCAGCUGCUCGUCAACGACUGCGGCUGCGCCGUGCCCCCGGGCUACACCUGCGCCUGA
rnacentral:rRNA from 1 species